ACGGUGGUGGUCGUGGCGCCGGCGCUGCUGCAGUUCCUGCCGCCGAAGAGCGAGGAAGAGCAUAGCUUCGCAGGGUCGAGCUCCUCGCCGCCCGUGGUGUUUGACUCGGCGCCGCCGGCCGUGGGCCUGGGGCUGGACCUGAACCUGGCGCUGCCGGCGCCAGGGACGAUGGUGGUGUAGCGGACAGACUAAUCAAUUGGUUAAUUGCAUACAGUAGGAAUUAGCUGAUGAUGGAUCCAGAUGCCAUCAGGCCAGUGUAAGAUAGGCUGCAGAUUUGUUAAUGCAGCCCUUCGUUUUCCUUUCUUUUUGUACUGGCACAUCUGCAUCUUCUUGCAAUGAAACAACGAGGAUGAUCUUCCCUCCCGGUUUACUACAAUCUCUCGUCUGCCAGUCUCACAGCUCCAGCAGCUCCUGAAACCUCCGAAUUGUAGCGCGCCGCGCGCCGGGAUAUGGGUUCGCAGACUCGGAUGACAUCCGGAUAUGAGGUCUGGGUACGCGCACGGGUAUGCGGGUAGCAAGCGGCGGCGUCACGUACGCGUCGCCGGGCAGGGCAGGGCAGGUAGGAGUAGGACGUGGUCUCGAGGCAACGCGCCCGUGUCGGCAGGGCAGCUAGACAGCGCGGCAGCGUGGUGCCGUGGUGUACGCGCGGCCACGAUGCACCGUCCGCAUCCAGUAGGACGUGUGCGUGCAGGUGCGCGCGCCGCCGCCGACGUCUCCAUCAACCGCCCCACGGUUUUUAAAAAGUCCGCCGACCCCGGAGGCGCGACGCGGGGUUCCCCGCAGUCGCCGUUGGCCGGCGGCAGGCGUCCCGUGCGCGUGCGGCUAUCGCUGUCGCAGGCUCGCAGGUGGCAGGCUGGCAGAGCAGGCGCCGCUCACCCUCAUAUUCCUUCGCAGCUGACGUUUCACCUCCAAAACUUGUCGCACGAAAAAUAUUCAUUUAAUCACCUUCUCAAAGUAACCCAGAGUUCUUAAAAAAAAUCUUCCCAAAACAAAGUAUUGGGACUAUGCUAAAAAAAAUUUCUCCAGAAAAUAUAUAACACAUAGCAAAACGCUAAAAAUUCUUCCCAAAACAAAGUAUUGGCUAUGCUAAAAAAAAUUUCUCCAAAAAAUAUAUAACACAUAGCAAAAUGCUAAAAACUAUCCCCCAGUAAUUCAAAAAGACCACGUCAUCAUAAUCGGAAUCAAGUAUCAAAAGAACGACAACUCGUUGGAUCGGGCCUGUCUCUAGUGCAACAGCAUGUAGAGCAGCAUGUCAUUGCAGGCGUCCAUGGUGCUGGGCAAGUACUAGUGCAGAUAGUCACGCGACACAGACGGGCGGAAGAACCAACUCGCCCAGACCACCACGUAGUCGAACUCGCCGGCGCGCGCCGACCACCCGGCAUCCGGCUGGUCGAGGUGGAGGCUCCACAGCCUGCCCCACUCCUUCGCCGCGCUCUUCCACGGGACCCUCGCCGCGCUCGUCGUGGCCAGGGCUAUCCUCGAGCUGCCCGCGGGGUCCCGCUCCUUCGCCACGCCAAACAAGCGCCUUCAGGAGCACGUCCUCGACUACAACAUCGCCUAUUUUACCAUGGACCUGCUCCACUACCUCACCUUUCGGCCCGGAGACGUCCUCUUCAUCGCGCACCAUUGAUUCAACCCCUGGCGCCAUCGUGCAACCGCGGAGCAAGAGGGGAUUCAACCACCACCGGCUAGUGCUGCCGCCGAUCCCGUCCGUCUUCGACGGCCGGUACACUGCCCUCACCUCCCCGCCGCCGCACUUCUUUCUCGCGUCUGUUCCCUCACCUAACCUCACUCUCCGCAUUGCAGCUUCCCACGCCUCCCUCCUCUCCAACCGGCGGCGUCAACCGCGCCAUGGAGAACGGCCUCCUCGACGACCCCCUCGCGCUCGCCCCGCCGCCUUGCUACUCGCCCCGCCACCCCGCUGCUUGCGCGGGAAGUGGUCGUGCAGGACGUUUGGGAAAAGACAUGCGCGGGGGAUUGGGGAAGACCAGCUGACACGAAUAUAUGCGGGGCCAGUGGUGUUUUUUUCGCGUCACCAAUCUUUUGGAAAGUUUUAGGUGGAUUAUUGGAGUUCUUUUUUUCUUUUUUGUUUCCUUAAAAAAGGUAUUGGAGGUAAGAUUAGAGUCUUUUGGAGUUCUCUCACCUAGUUAACGAAUCAAUCUACAUUCACUCCCAACAUCGACGUCCCAGCCAGACUCGCUCACCCCUUCCAUCGCCUCUUUCGUUGGUCACCCCUCCGUUCCUUGAUUAUCUGCUCGACACAUAAACGAUGCCCACUUGCAUGCAACACCGCGCAUUCGUGCCGCUUCCCCAUCGCUCGAUGCUCGCCGCCGCUUCCCAUAGCUAGCACGCUCGUCGCCGCUUCACAUUGCCUUAUUCGCCACUCCACUGCAGCUCUCCCCUCCCAUCCCAUGGUGCUAAGCGACUUCGGCAAGAGCCGUGGUUCACGGUAUUUGGGCUAAGCAGCUGCAUCUUCCAGUGAAGGGAGUGGAUCCACGACCUCCGGCUCUGGAUCGGGUGUGGGGGAGGUUGGAGUUGCAGGCUCGGUGGAGGUGGGAUGCGUAGUGGCUGAUCCUUGUCUUCCCACGGGACUCCUCUACUAUUUAAGCCCUCUUUGGCAUGGCUCAUUUCAGUUUUAGCUUCAUCUAUUUUGCGCAAAUCGAGCCACUAUAGCGUGAAACCAUUUUGUAAGCCGGGGCUAAAAUGAAUUAGAAGCUAGGUGAAACCAGUUUUUUAGCUUCACCAGUGAAAGUAUGUGCAAGUAAAAUGAGCAUCAAUAAAAUACAAGCACAUGUAUCGUGAUGGUCGUGCUUGGACUGGCACGGCACGAAGUUGUACCGGCGUGUAGCACGGGCCAUGCUUGUGCUUAGUAAAAGACUUAUCGUGCUGUGCCGGUACAACACCACGUACCUAACGUGCUCAGAAGUCCAGACACGAUGGGGCACGGGGCAUGAGAGGGCCGGGCCGUGCAGUGAAAAUCUUACCAAGGCAAGCAAGUUGUACCAAGUCGUUAUCCUUGCCUGUUCAAGCGAGACGACGCCGAGCACGGGAACCGAGAUCGAAACUAAUCCUCAAAGGCCUUGUUUAGUUCCCCUUUUUUCCCAACUUUGACACUAUGCAAAAAGAAGAUUUUCCAUCAUAUCAAACUUGCGGUACAUGCAUGGAGUACUAAAUGUAGACGAAAUCAAAAACUAAUUGCACAAUUUUGUUGUACUUUGCGAGACGAAUCUUUUGAGCCUAAUUAGUCAAUGUUUGGACAAUAAUUUAUAAAUACAAACGAAAUACUACAGUUGCGCAUUUAUAGCAAAAUGCAAACUUUGUCACUUCCAAUUUGGAAACUAAACAUGCUAGGAAAGUGACAUUCUGCAGUAACCUCAUGCUACACUCAACAACAAAUCACAAGACAUCGUUUCUUGAUCCGACGGCUGCGCGGGCCAGCCACAUCCCACGCGGCACUGCGCGCCACGAGUCGGAACCGACCCGAACCAGCGCAGCGCAGCGCAGAGCAGAGCGGACACGCUAGCUCGCGCGCGCGACGCGCCGACGCAACACGGACGGCCCCGCAAACCGACGCCGCGAGCCGCCGGAACGGAAACGCGGUGAGGGCGGCGCCCUGGGCCCCACCCUGAGCCCGCUCUCGGUCCGCAGCCAGCCAGACCUCACCUUCCUUCCACCUCUCCCGCGUGGGCCCCACCAUCCACCUCACCUGUCACCCUCGCCGCCCCCACCCCCUCGUGCUCACUCGUGGUGUAUAUAUUCCAAGCCUCGCCAGCGGCGUCCCCAUCCAUUCUCGCAACUCGCAAGCGCCAACAGCAAAGAACAAGCGAGCGAGAAGCUAAAGCAAGAAGCCGUCGAGGACGUGGAUCAAGCGAUCCAUGGCGCCGAAGAGGUCGACUUCGCCGGCCGGAAGCAGCAGCAGCGGCAGCGGCGUGUUCGCGCCGGCGGCGGCGGCGGAGCAGCAUCCAAGGCUCCGUGGGGUGCGGAAGCGGCCGUGGGGCCGGUACGCCGCGGAGAUCCGGGACCCCGUGCGCAAGGCGCGCGUGUGGCUCGGCACCUUCGACACCCCCGAGCAGGCGGCGCGCGCCUACGACGCCGCCGCGCGGAAGCUCCGCGGGCCCAGCGCCACCACCAACUACCCCGCCGCCGACGCGAAAGGGGCGGCGAGCGGGAACACCGUGCUGUCGGAGGACGCGUCGUCGUCCUCCUCGUCUUCCCGGGACUCGCCGCUGGCGGUGACGGUGGCCGUCGCGGCGGCGCCGCCCCCGUCGCUGGACCUGAGCCUGGCGCUCCCGACCACGCCAUCGUGCUGCCAGAUGUUCCUGGACCCGACGAUGAUGGUGGCCGGUGCGCCGGCGCUUCUGCAGUUCCUGCCGCCGAAGAGCGAGGAGGGGCAGAGCUUGUCAUGUUCAUCGUCGUCGUCGGUGGUGCUCGACGCGGCGCCGGCGGCGGGCCUGGGGCUGGACCUGAACCUGGCGCUGCCGGCACAGAUGGUGGUGUAGCGACAGGCUAAUCAGUUGGUUAAUUACAGUAGGAAUUAGCUGAUCAUGAAUCAGAGGCCAGCCAGUGUAAAUAGGGCGCAGAUUUGUGAAUGCAGCCCAUCUUUUUUCCUUUCUCUGCAUCUCUUCUUCCAACCCAAUGAUGCAAAAACAGAGGACAAUUUCCCUUCCAGGGCAUAAUCUUGUUUUUUUUCUGCUAUUAUAUCGAUCCGUUCGUUCAAAAAAACAAUUAACAAUCUCGCAUUUUGCCAAUCUCACGGCUCCAGCAGCUCCUGAAACCUCUGAAAUUCCGAAUUGAACUCUGCAGCUUCGCACCAGGACACGGUGUUCGGAGGAGGCUCGGAUGGCAUGCAUGGAACUGCCAGUUCCGCGACGUGCACGGCGGAUAUGCUCCGGAACCGGUGGUGACCUCAUGCCGGUAGUGAGCGGUUGGCGGCGUCACGACCACGUACGCGUCGCCGGCGGGGCAGGUAGGACGUGGACGUGGUCUGGAGGCGACGCACGCGCCAUGUCGGCAGCGCAGCUAGGCAGGCGGUGGGAUGAUACGGCACGCGCCACGAUUACGGAGGCGGUGGCGACUCGCGAGGCGUGCGCGCACGGCACCGACCGGGGGGCCGGGGCCGAGAGCGCGUGGGCGCGUGGCGUGGCGGCUGCAGGCCCGCCCCCCCCCCCCCCCCCCCCCCCCCCCCCCCCGGGGUCAGCGCCUCAGGCAGCCCUCAGCGGAUGCGAUCGGAGCGGACGAAGAGAAACCGAUGGCACCGAACGUGCGUUCGUUCGGGCGGCGGGCUGGGCCCACCACCGUGCCGGGUCAGCUGUCCGGCCGACCCCAUCAGCCGCCCAGAGCGGCCCGCGGUUGACCCCACCCAGCUGGGUUGCACGCGCGAGCGAGUCGCUUUCGCUCCAAGCCACCGAACGCCGGCCAUCAAGCAGCUGCAUGGAAGGAUUCCGAAUUCUUUCAAAGCUAACCAUUCUCUUUUAAUUGGCUCCUCCUCUCUAUGCUCGAGCUACAUGGAAUGAUGGCACGAAUGUUUGCUAGGGCCUUGUUUAGUUGGGGAAUUUGGGAGGUGCCAAAUUACUGUUACAGCACUGUAGCACACUGUAGCGUUUCGUUUGUAUUUGUGAAUUAUUGUCCAAAUAUUGACUAAUUAGGCUCAAAAGAUUCGUCUCGCAAAGUACAACAAAACUGUGCAAUUAGUUUUUAAUUUCAUCUACAUUUAGUACUCCAUGUAUGUACCGCAAGUUUGAUGUGAUGGGGAAUCUUCUUUUUGCAUAGUGUCAAAGUUGGGAGUUGGGAGUAACUAAACAUGGUCUAGGUAUUGGGCAUUUUUUAUUUUUUAUUAACCAUUUGCAGAGAGAACAAGCCGUCUCUACGAAUGUAUUUGCAGCGUCGGUCAAUACCACCACCUCUGUAGUUGCUGGCAUUUGCACAGGCCUUAUGUUAGAGGUGGUUCGUGAGGCUGCCUCAAAUGUUUUGACCGACUUUAAGUUGGCUUCUUUGGUAGUGUGGGUCAUUGUAGUAUUUGGCAUCGUUCAUCACAAUGUGAUGUCAUGUGUAGUCCACAAUGGGGGUAUUUGUAGGUGGUACAGGAGAAGGGAAAACAGGAUUACAAAGGCCUUGUUUAAUUCCACCUAAACUCCCAAUUUUGACACUAUGCAAAAAGAAGAUUCCCCGUCACAUCAAACUUACGGUACAUGCAUGGAGUACUAAACGUAGACGAAAUCAAAAACUAAUUGCACAGUUUUGUUGUACUUUGCGAGACGAAUCUUUUGAGCCUAAUUAGUCAAUAUUUGGACAAUAAUUCACAAAUACAAACGAAACGCUAUAGUGUACUACAAUGCUACAAUAGUAAUUUUGGACAUCCAAAUUCAGGGCAACGCCACACUGGCCUUAUUCUACCUACUACAUUCUGUAAUAUCGGAGGGCAUUGCAGGGAUUUUACCCAGGCGGAGGCAGAAUAAUGAUCCUCACUUCGUCAUUGAAUAUUCAUUAUGGCUGCACUUGCUACACUCUUGAUCCUCCUUUUGCCUUGCCAGCGCCCGUUACCCUUCCAGACUGCCGCCACUGGGCAUUAAUUUGUAGGCCCGGUUUGAUGUUUGAGACACAAAUGCCCCUAGGAAUGAUUUUCCAAUAAAAAAAUGACCGUAAGAAGUAGCAAAAAAAAUCAGAGAAGCAAACUAGCCAAAGAUCCAAGUCCCCGCCUGCGACGAUUUUUUUGGGCUAAAUAUGCACAACCUCUUACCUCAUGUGAGGCCUCUACCACCAUCGUUUUCUACAUUUGACCCGCUCGAGUUCGUAUUUUCAAACAAAUUUGAAUUCGGUACGAAAUAUGGUAUGCCAAAUUCUAAAACAGGAUGGAAACUGUUAAGGUAUUAUCCCAACCGUUUUCUACUUUUCCACUUUUAUUCGGGAUAUCCCGUUUUUGAAAUAUGGUAUAUACCGCUUUUGGUCCACUAGGCGCAAUCUUAUAAAAAAAUGUAUCUUUUUCAUACGGAUGAAGACGAUUAUUUUUACAUGAAAAAUUGUAAUUGUGGUUCUCGACGAGAUCUACGAUUUUUUAAUUUUGAGUUUUUUCAUUUCAAGUCGUUAAGAUGCUCAAAAAAUUAAAUAAAGUUUCAGCUGUAUAUUAAUCGCGUUCCAGCACUUGUCGUCUUAGAAAAAUCAUAUCUUUCUUAUAUGGUGUGAAAUGGAGAUACUUUUUAUAUGAAAGUUGUAGCACUUGGUCCUACCGGUCGGUAUUCCGUAUUUAUUUUUCAUAUACUGACCAUGUUCGAUAUAAUUCCGCUUGAAUUAGUUCGUUUUCAAAAUUAUUGAUAUUCCAUAAGUUCGGGUUCAUUUUUGUGUCCAGCUUUACCGCUUUCGCUUUCGUUUGCGUAUUCAAAUGUAGAAGUAAAAAAUAGUUGAGGGAUUUUUCGACCGUUUCCAUCUGUUUUCAUCCCUACCUACCACCACAUCACACACUCACUUGUAUCCAAGUAUAUGAUGCUAUUCUUUUGUAUAUUAACUUCUAUAAAUCUUGUUUGAACGUCUAGGGAUCUAAAUAAGCUAAAACAAAAAAUUAUCAAAUAGAAAUUUUAGAUAUCAACCCUGCAACUUUGGUACACCGCGUAUCUCCAUCCGAGGCCGUUUGAUAAUUUCAAAGAAAAUGAAUUUCGACGACUACAUGAGGCAGUGGCCUCCUCGGUGGGGUGUAGUCUGCUUCCGUCAGGUUCCUGUCAACGCAAGGUCACCCAUGGAAGUUUCGACGACUACAUGAGGGUGUUUGUUGGUGGGUGCCGCGAAUAUUACAAAGACUCCGAUUCUGCUGCUAUGGCGAGUGGAGUUGUUACCGUGUUGACGUCCCAAUCCAACCGAGCAACCCUUUCUUUAUUUUUCUUUUCUUUUCUUUUUCCUGCCUAUAGCCUCUCAGGGUUGUAGUCUUGUACUAUAUCAAUAAAACACGCACUAUCCUGUGCAGUUCGUUCAAAAAGAGACAUAUAUAUUAUAAUGAGGGUCCAUGGUAGCUUGUUCUUAGUUAUGGAUGGAAAAUAAUUUCAUUUCCUUUAUUCUUGAUUGGUCCAAAUAGAUGAUGGAUUACAAUCCAUUGUGUAUGAAUGGUGACGAGAUUAUACAGGACAGAAUGAUCGAUAUAAGCCCUCUGGUCAAAUGAGAUGGAUGAUACAUAACCUUUACUCUUACUCCGUGAUCUAAAUUUUUCGUUACCCUGCUACAUAUGCUUUAAGAUACAUGGAAAUGAAUAAUUCAUUAGAGGCAAAAUCGAGCCCAGCUAUGGUGGCUUGUGCUGCGCACUCUGUGCUACACAUAUCUAUCUCGGCUGAAGCUCUGAGAUCGACAUCUCAUUCUCUGAAACCGAGGUUGUCGAGGACUGUUUACCGUUAAUCAGCGGCACGCCAUCAGAGAUCUCAACACUGGAUCUUGAUGGGUGAUCUGAUUCAGUGAAGCCCGAGCUGAAGACGAAGGCUGGCCUAGACGGGGCACGAUGUCUGUCAUCAGACGUGGAGGUCGGGCUGCUGAGCAUAAGCACCACCGCAGAGGCGUCUGGUCGGUCCGCUGGGUUCUCCUGGACACAUAGGAGACCGAUCUCUAUGCAGUUGAGUAGCUCGCUUUCCGGGUACCCUGACUCCGCUAGCGCUGGGUCUACCACAUCCACCAUGGAACCAGCUCUCCACUUGUCCCAUACCUGAACAGAGAUGAUCCAUCGUUGUACGUACAUUUAUGUGAAACAAAUAAUGUGACAUGGGAAUAUCAUAUCCUUACAUGGCCCAGAACAGAUAUGGAGUCUGAAUUGUCGUUGUAUGCGCUGUUGUUCUUUCGCCCGGUCACAAUUUCCAGGACUAUGACCCCGAAGCUGAAUAUGUCUGACUUGGUUGAAACAUGCCCCCAAUAGGCAUACUCUGGGGACAUGUACCCGCUGCAUGCAUCAAUGAAUUGAAAGGACUCACUAAUAAUCAAUCAAGGGUAUUGCCAGAAUUUUCAGGUUGCUAGCUAUUGGUAUACUUACAGUGUUCCAACAGGUCGUCUUGUUAUAUCUCUAGUUUGGUCUCCACCGAAAGCCCUGGCGAUGCCAAAAUCUGAAAUUUUGGGGUUCAUCUUUGCAUCAAGCAAUACAUUGCUUGGCUUUAGAUCUCUGUGAAUGACCUUCAAGCGGGACUCCUCGUGGAGGUAGAGAAGUCCUCGUGCGAUACCGCAGAUGAUGGAAAACCUCUUGCUCCAGUCGAGCUGUUGCCGUCUCACUGGAUCUGCACGCAUGGACACAACGAGGAGCAGAACAAAUAUGGGAAGAUGAAUCUGUGAGAGAUGUCUUAUUUUGAAUCUGAGCAGUAGCUUGAUGGAUACCAGAAAGGAAGGUAUCUAGGCUUCUAUUGGGCAUGUACUCGUAGAUGACCAGCUUCUCUUCUUGCAGGGACACGCCCAAGAGCCGCACUAGGUUCCUGUGCUGAAGCUUGGCAGCCAGAACAAGCUCGUUCUUAAGCUCUUGGAAUCCCUGUGAGGAGUUCUGUGAAAGCCUCUUCACAGCUAUCUCUUCCCCAUCUUGUAAUGUACCCUGCACAAAAGAAAAUACCUGUUCUUACAUUUUCGUGACACUACACUGCAAUUCACGAUAGUACUAGUUCUGUCACGAUGACUGUACCUAGCUAGUACAUUAUACUACUUCUCAUUUGUGUGUCUAUACAUAUAGGUGAAAAUGUACCUUGAACACUUCUCCAAAACCUCCCUCUCCAAGCUUGUUUUCUUCCGAGAAAUUGUCGGUUGCAUCUCUUAACACCGCUAGAUUAAGUUGCUCCGGCUCAACAUAUCCGAUGUCCUCUUCUUUGCUACUGUUGUCGUCUGUCAAAAAAAUAGUAUGCAAAAGACUGGCAUUAUUAUUAAGUAGAAUCAUGUUAGCUCCUUUUUUUUGUAAUAAGUAAAGCUCAUGGAAAAAUAAUCCUCAAUACCAAGCGCAAAUUUUGUGGGGCCAUCCGGCCAUGCCUGCAUGUACACAUAAAUGUUUUCAUGCUCUGCCGGUCAAAAUAUAGCACUGGUGCUGAUGGCCCUUAAUUUCCAACCGGUUAGGGAGAUGCUGGGUUGAGAAUGUAUUUAGCUUUGAUCGAGGGGCACAUAUUGGUGCAAUGGAACUAUGGAAGAUCAAAGAUCCCGCGGCACAUGAAUGACUUCAUGAUAACCUUAUUGAGCAUUUGUGGCAGCUCCAUGGCAGUGUGUGAUGCUCCUUUCUUCAUAUUUGUUUUGGAUUAUUUACUUGAUGCAUUUGGACCAUGCAUAUUUAUGUUUGAAUUUCUGCAUUUCAAACUUAGACGAAUCAUGUGUGAUAGAAACAUCCCGUAAUUAUUCGGACAUGAACAUAGCGUAUUUGUAACUUUUAUGUGCAAGUACAUAGCGAAAUAGUGUUAAAAAGACGAUUAUAUAUAUUGGGAACCUGCUCUAAUAAUCCUAAAAAUUAUGUCCCAGUACUAUCUGCUCGGUUGCUGUAACUGAACUCUGCUGCACCCAGUAAAAUGGACACGGCCAGAAACAAAUAUCAACUGAGGUUUUAGGCGUACGCGUACCUGGCGUUCUCUUUCGAUUGGCAUUUCUUCUGCGUAAGAAAACACCAAGGAUGACGAGUGCAAUAAGGACCGUUGCACCACCAGGGAGGGCGAUGGCGAGAGUCGAACCAAGCCCCUUUUUUCCUGCAUUUGAGUGAGGUAUUACCACUGUCGGUCAGGUCGUGCUUUCUUUUUUUACUCGUGUCACGUCUGCUUCUAGAUUGCCGUCAACUUGUCCUACACCCUCUAUACUGCCCUACAGUGAUUUCACGAUGGGACACUGCUGCAGACCGGGUUGAUGCAUUAUUGGUUAUAUUUGCCGAGAGGUGACCGAAAUUUUAAUUGCUUUCAGUCAACGAACAGAAUAAUAUAUGAUAUGUCUAUACAACAGUUGAAAGCUAGAUUACUGAUUAAUAAUCUAUCAUUUUUUUGGACCCUAGAAUUAAGAUCCAACGGCCUAUACUUUGUCCAUUCGCUACGUCACUGUUUGCGGCCGGGCACAUCAUGAUCUAAUCGGCUACCCUGAGCACCAUGGCGCCGCCUGUUGUGUUUCUCUGCCAGCGAGGGCAGACGGCAGUCAAUCUUCCGUGUCUACGGAUCUGCCUUGAAUCGCCAUCCUUAUCCGUGCAUCCUCUUUCUUGUUCAAUAAUUUUAUUUCGCGGUGCCCCCGCUCUGCCUCCAGCCACAAAUCUCCCAAUCUCUAAACCUAAAAUUGAAAACCCAAACUUCAUCAAAGAAGAUAGCGUUGCUGACUCUAAAUGUUAGGAACGAACGGCGUAUGGAAUAUGAAGUAAAGAAUCAAACCACAAAGGAGACACACGAUUUACGUGGAAAACCCCUUCAAUGUGAAGAGGAAAAACCACGGGCACCAGCCGGCAACAAUCUCACUAUAUCAAGAGUUUGGGGUUACACGCCUAUGGCGGCUUACAAGAGAAUCUGAUGAUCUCUCUCUCUCUUCUGUUGUUCUAUCGCAUGAAACCCUAGCAAGGGUGUCGGUAUAUAUAGUACCGAAACCCCAGACAGGGGGUAUUGAGCGGUACGGACUCUUGGUCCCGUGCGAGGAUGGAACUCCUCCUCGUCCGACCCUGAGUCCUUCGUCCUGGAGUCGGAUGCGCCUGGGACUCCGCCUCGCCCGACCUCAAGCCUGGGGUCGGAUGCGCCUGACCCCUUGAGGGUCGAUCUCCGACUCGCCCGACCCCAAAGUCCAGGGGUCGGGAGACGCUCCGCCUCGCUCGACCCCGAGUCCCGGGGUCGGCAGAUUCUCCGCCUCGCCCGACCCUGAGUGUUAAGGGUCGGGAAGGUCGGCCUUUAUCCUGGAGUGAAUUUGGAACAACUCCAACACUAAAUCUGUCCAUGAAUAUCUAGUAUUGUUCUAAAUCAAGGUUCUAAAUCUCCGGCAGCUGCCAACUCUAAAUCUAUCAAUGAAUAUCUAGUAUUGUUCUAAGGCUCUGUUUGGCAUGGCUCCAGCUCUGGGUGGAGCUGCUUUACUCCAAAACUUCAGGUAGAGUCAGCUCCACUCCAGAACUCCAGAAAUAAAAUGGGAUGUUUGGCUAGAUGGGUACUCUCAGCUCCAAAAAAAUCAAUUUCAGUGUUAAUUGCCAUUGGUGCCCCCAAUUCAGGCCCCACUUGUCAUCCUCUCCCCCUCCUUUCUUCCUCCUUUCUUUUUCCUCUCUUUGCCGUUGCCCACUGGUCACCCGAAGGAAGAGGAGGGGAAGGCACCAGCAGGUGGGUGGUGCUGCCGGCGGCAGGGGGUGCGGCCGGCGGCGGGGCUAGCGCGGGCGGCGGGGGGUGCGGCCGGCGGCGGGGCUCGGGCGGGAGGCGGUGGGAGCGGCCGGCGGUGCGGGCGGCUGGCGGCGGGGCUCGGGCGGGCGACGGUGCAGGCGGCUGGCGGCGGAGCUCCAAGGCCGGAGCGUGCUGGACGGAGGGGCCACGGCGGCCGGUGGCGGGAGCAACGGGCGGCGCUAGCGCGGUGGAGACCGGUGGAGAUGAGCGCGUGGAGUCUCGGAGGAAAAUAGAACAAACCGUUUUUUCUAUGUAACCAGUGGUAUUGGUGGGUAAUUAUCCACCAACUCCACGAGGAGGUUCAAAAGAGUGGUUUCUGGAGUAGCAAAAGAGGUGCUCCAAAACUCCACCUCCAUUUGCACUACAGCUCCAUGGAGUUUUGGAGUUGGGGUGUUUGGCUGAAUUUUUUGAUGGAGUUGCUAGAGUUUAGGAGUGAAGCUGUGCCAAAUAGGACUUAAAUCAAGGUUCUAAAUCUCCGGCUAUAGCUGCCACUGUAGCUAGAGAUAGCUGCUGGAGAAGGAAGCCGUUGAUUUUAGCAUUACGAGUUCGCUGCCGCUAAUAGCUGCUAUUAGCCAUAUUCCCUCAAUUAGCUGCCGCUAAAGGACUUGACGGGCCAAAUUGAAGCACAGGCUUAGCGCAAGCGAACAAACUUGGCAGGCAACGCGCUCGGCCCGCCAAGAAUUUCAGCCCAGAUUUCAUCAUUUUAGGCCAUGUAUAGGCAGGCAAAUCCUUCCCCACUCCUCUCGAGUCUGUCAACUCUGUCUCAGACUCUCCACUCCCCUGAAAGGCAGCGGUGGCGUUGACUGCGCGGCCGCCGGCGGCGGCGGCUGCGCCCGGCCCUGGAGACGAGGAAGACUAGCAGUCUAGCACCCUCUCUAUUUCCUACUUUUCUCCCCUAAGCGACGGCUGCUGCUACAACCCACCAAGGCGGCGGCGACUGCGACGGUGCCAUGGUCCACCGGCGGCUGCUUCGUUUGAGGCUGCAACGCGAGGCAAGGAAGAACCAGCACGUGCUCUGUUCCCCUUUCCUCCUCUGAUUCUGGUAUCCUGGUGACUUUUCUGAUGGGCAGAUGAUGCAUUGCCUCUAUGGUUUGCCUCUGUCCUGUUUUCAUGCUGUGAUGAACUGUGAGUGCCAAGUGUUCUGGACUGAAACACGGUCCACUGUCCUGUAUAUUGUGCUAUACUCCUGUGAGAACUGAGAAGCGAGAGCUGAUGACUUGGUGAUGAGAUGAAUUAGUGAAGUAAUGGUGUCACAUUUCUGAUUUUCUUAACCUACAUUUACAAAUCCGCUAAAUUGCUUAGCUGUAGCUAUAGCCGGCUAUAGCUGCUCUUAGGCCUAGCCGGAGAUUUUAAACACUGUUCUAAAUUAAUAUACAAAAUUUGAAGUAUAGAGAUUGUAUCUAUUUGAAAUGCAAUAUGUAAGCAUGUCUCUGUUUGCAAAUAUGUGACAUUUAGAACAUUGAUUAUAAACCGGUUAGUUUAAUUGAACUAAUUAGCUCGUGCUAAACAUCAUAUAUCUGAAAAAGAAUGAAAAUUUGUAGUGAUUGAGAAGCUCACCUGCACUUUGUCCGAUGAAGUUGGACGGAGCUGGCGCUGGAGGGGGCGGUGGAUCAAGCUUGAGAUCAUAGUAGGUGUACAUCUCCAUGCGAAGGUAGCAGUUGUAGCCGAGCACCACCCCACCCAGGUUACCAUAGCAGCAGCUAGGCAGCCGUGGCACCGAGUCCUGCAAGCACUUGUCGCACUCCGCCGCCGUCAGAUCCCUCAUGCACUGCAUCAGCCCGUACAUGGUUCCGUUGGGGACGCCGGGGUCAUACACGGCCUCCCCCGUCGCGAACAUCGGCGCCUCCGGGAAGGAGGCCGGCGCGGUGUCGCCGGAGCCGUUGACGACGCGCGCGGCGAGCCGCGUCAUGAGCGUGUAGUAUGUGUUCUCGAAGGCGCCCUUGUCACGGGCCUCCCCCGUGUUAUGCAUUUCGUGGCGGUACUUCUGCUCGUCGGGCGUGGACGUGUUGGUGUCGGCAAAGCUGACGAAGCAGAACAUCGGCGCCGGAUAUGUCACGGUGGAGCCGUCGUCGUACCAGAUGGCGGCGCGGCGGCUGUUGCUGUUGCAUCGGCUCCGGAUGCCCAUGGCGGCGCUCCGGAGGUACCUGGCGCAAUCGCCACCGGCGGAGUCGCCGCGGCAGAUGCCUCGGACGAAGGCGCGGUUGGUGCCGUUGCCGCGAGACAGGGAGGCGAAGCCCGUCGGUGCUGCUGCAGACGGUAGCGCAUCCAGUAACGCGACGACGUUGGUCCAGAACGUGCUGUUAGUGGCGGUGGAGGAGGAGGAGGAUGGCGGCGGCGGCGGCGACGGCGACGAGGGAGCAGGAGAUGGCGCCGCCGACGUUUGGCAGUGGACCAACGUGAACCGGCUGUCCAUGGACAUUACGAAGGUAGAGAGGCUCGCCACCAUGGCAAGGAGGAGCAGGCAACGGCCCUGGCGGUGGCCGGAUGGAGACGACGGCAUGGGUGGUGUUCUGAUCGAGGAAGUAGCUAGGAAGUUAACGGCAGUGGGUGAUCAUGGCAGCCUGAGUGGUCAUCACAGUUGGAUGCAUGAUUGGCGUAGACAGGCCAUUUGGCGAAGACUUGACUUGACUUCACGGUAUACUGAUAAUGGCAUGAUUUGUUCGGUGGACCUUCUCCAUCCCUGUAGAAUGCAGAGUCGUCGGGCGUCAGGUUGCAUGCAGAUGCACUUGCAGGUUGAUGUAAGUAGUGGUUCAUACAUUGAUAUGAUUGCUAUUAGAUUGAGACAGUAGUAACUAAGGGGGGUGUUUGGAUACGAGGUGUUAAACUUUAACAGUGUCACAUUGGAUGUUCGGAUGCUAAUUAGAAGAACUAAACAUGAGCUAAUUAUAAAACUAAUUGCAGAACCCUGUGCUAAUUCGCAAGACGAAUCUAUUAAGCCUAAUUAAUCCAUCAUUAGCAAUUGGUUACUGUAGCACCACAUUGUCAAAUCAUGGACUAAUUAGGCUUAAUAGAUUCGUCUCGUGAAUUACACUCCAUCUGUGCAAUUAGUUUUGUAAUUAGCCUAUGUUUAAUACUCCUAAUUAGCAUCCAAACAUCCGAUGUGACAGGUGUUAAACUUUAACACAUGGUUGCCAAACAUGCCCUAAUUUGUUCAGUUUCAUCACUUCAUGGGGAACUUUAUAUGGUGUUAGGAAUGCACUAACCAUUAUUUUACUGCACCUUUUAUCUAAUCAGUGUAAAUUUCAUUUUCUAUUCUUUUCUACUAUCUCAGGUCUAAGAAACUAGCAGGUGUACCACUUGAAACCAACUUAUGACACAUACAAAAUAACAAUCUUAACGGUGUCUCUGGGUCGGUCAAUCCAACACCAUGUUCACUAACAUGUGUUCAUGUUAUUAAUCCGAUAUCUCUAUAUCUAGGAUCCAUGAAAGGUGAUCAUCAAUUAAUAAAUGUGCUAGUCUGUGUGUCAUUAUUGUCCCACAUAAUGAUAUAGACUAGGAAUCGUUUAGAAUAACAUGAUAAUCAACAAAGAGUUCCAUGAACCAGUCACAUACUUGAUAAUCAGUGUAAAUGAUAGUUACUCAAGGAACAAAUAACACUUUAUUCAAUAGGACAUAAAUAUAGUCAUGAUACAAAUCUUGCACACACACUAGGAUCAUUGAUGCAAGUAUCUAAUACUCAUAUAUUUGUUGUGCACUCCGCCACCUCAUGCACUGCAUCAGCCCGUACAUGGUUCCGUUGGGGACGCCGGGGUCAUACACGGCCUCCCCUGUCGCGAACAUCGGCACCUCCGGGAAGGAGGCCGGCGCGGUGUCGCCGGAGCCGUUGACGACGCACGCGGCGAGCCGCGUCAUGAGCGUGUAGUAUGUGUUCUCGAAGGUGCCCUUGUCACGGGCCUCCCCCGUGUUAUGCAUUUCGUAGCGGUACUGCUCGUAGGGCGUGGACGUGUUGGUGUCGGCAAAGAUGACGAAGCAGAACAUCGGCGCUGGAUAUGUCACGGUGGAGCCAUCGUCGUACCAGAUGGCGGCGCGGCGGCUGUUGCUGUUGCACUGGCUCCGGAUGCCCAUGGCGGCGCUCCGGAAUGCGACGACGUUGGACCAGAACGUGCUGUUAGUGGCGGUGGACCAAGGUACUAAAUAGCGGCGGUAGCGGCCGCAAUAGCGGUAGCGGCCUAUUGCCGCUAUCGCUACUAGGUUAGCGGUCGGGCUGUUGCGGUUUGGAAUUUUGCGACCGCAAUUGCGCUAUAGCGGGCCACAAUAGCGGUGGUAGUAAGCUGCAAUAACGUGGAACAAAAAAACCCUCCCAACCUACCCACACAGACUCCACCAGUGCACCCCCAUCGGCCAAUCGGCCUUGCCAUCCAGAACACGCCGCCGCCACAAUAGCGGUGGUAGUAGGCUGCAAUAACGUGGAACAAAAAAACCCUCCCAACCUACCCACACAGACUCCACCAGUGCACCCCCAUCGGCCAAUCGGCCUUGCCAUCCAGAACACGCCGCCGCCACCCGUGUUGGUUGCCCGCCGCCGCCACCCUUCACCGGUGCCGCCACCCUUCGCCAGCGCCGCCGAUUCACAUACUCGAGCUCCUCCUGAUCCUCAUGGACCUCCGUCGUCUUACACUCUUAAUUUAAGCAUGUGAGACAUGUAUGCAAUUAAAUAUCUAUUUAUACUUAUUAUUCAUGAUAUAUAUAUAAUUAAAAUUAUGUGAGAUUAUUAGGUGCCGCUAUUGAAACUUAUCGUCCGCAAUAUUGCCCGCUAUCCGCAAUCCGCUACUUCAACGUCAAUCCGCUACCAACCCGCUAUUCGCUAUUUAUUACGGUGGUGGAGGAGGAGGAUGGCGGCGGCAACGACGGCGACGAGGGAGCAGGAGAUGGCGCCGCUGACGUUUGGCAGUGGACCAACGUGAACCGGCUGUCCAUGGACAUUACGAAGGUAGAGAGGCUCGCCACCAUGGCAAGGAGGAGCAGGCAACGGCCCUGGCGGUGGCCGGAUGGAGACGACAGCAUGGGUGGUGUUCUGAUUGAGGAAGUAGCUAGGAAGUCAACGGCAAUAGAGACGACGGCAUGGGUGGUGUUCUGAUCGAGGAAGUAGCUAGGAAGUCAACGGCAAUAGGAGAUCAUGGUAGUCUGAGUGGUCAUCGCAGUUUGAUGCAUAUGAUUGGCGUAGACAGGGCACUUGGCGAAGACUUGACUUGACUUACUGUAUAUUGAUAAUGACACCACUUGUUCGGUGUACCUUCUCCAUCCCUACAGCUAAUGCAGAGUCGUCGGGCGUCACGUUGCAUGCAGAUGCACUUGCAGGUUGAUGUAAGUAGUGGUACAUAUAUUGAUAUGAUUGCUAUUAGAUUGAGAUAGUAGUAACUAAUUUUUUCAGUUUCAACACUUCAUGGUGAACUUUAUAUGGUGUUAGGAAUGCACUUCAUGGUGAACUAAUGGAAGUUGGCAUCCAACAUGUCCAAGCAUUGAAGCGAUUAGUAUAAUCAGUCCAAUGGUCAAAGAAGAAAAAUUUGAUCUCUGAAGCUAGUCCAGUGCUCGAGCACAAGGAUAGACGAAGCCACGGAGGCACGCCAACCAGAAUUAGGUGCCCAGCUUCCAAGGACGAGGACUGGCGGAGCCACCUAGGCACGCCGACCUGAAGUAGGUGCCCAGCCCCCGAGCGUGGGAGCCGGAAGAGUCACGGAAACAUGUCAAGUGGCCUCUUGCUAGAGCCAAAGAGGUUGGCCGGGCGAGAGGAGGCACGCCGAGUCAUCGGCGGUGCUCAGCCCCUGAGCUUGGGAGCCGGAGGAGUCAUCGAAGUAUGCCGAGUCGCCACCUGCCUUGAGCCAAAGAGGUCGGCCAGGCAAUGGGAGGCACGUCGAGUUGUCGGCAGUGCCCAGCUCCCGAGCCUAGGAGCCGGACGAGUUGUUGAAGUACUCCGUGUUGCCGCCUGCCCUGAGCAAGAGAGGUCGGCCGGAUGACGGGAGGCACGCCGAGUCAGCGGCGACGCCCAGCCAUCGAGCCUUGGAGCUGGACGAGUCAUUGAAGUAUGCCUAGUCACCACCCGCCCCGAGCUAAAGAGGUCGGUUGGGCAACAAGAGGCACGCCGAGUCAUCGGGGACGCCUGGCCCCUAAGUCUGGGAGCCGAUGAGUCGUCAAAGUACGCCGAGUUGCCUCCCGCCCAAAGCAUGAGAGGUUGUCCGGGCGACAGGAGGCACUGUUUGUGACCGUUUACCAAUACAUUUAACUCUAUUCAUACCAAAAAUGCAGUUGAAGCUACUAAAAAGUAGCUCACAAUUUGCUGAACGGACUCUACAAUUCCAAGUACGGUAAGAAGUAUAAUAACAGUUAAAAAGACCAUACACACCCGUUGAGACCUCGGCGUCUUUCUCUCUGAUCUUCUGGAGAAUGAUAUCGCCAAGUGUGAGCUCGGCAGCUUUGUCCUUUGACAUCCCUCUCGUCCUCCUCGUUGAUCACCACCUACCAAUACCACAAAGCCAGCAAAUUCACAACUCAGACACAAGCUCAGCCACUCUGCAAUAGUUAGUUACUCAUUUUUAGUCUUGCAAGCAAGCCACGCACCUCGCCGCCGUCGUACUCGCUGAGCGCGUCAAACCCGUCGAACUCGUCGACGUCGUCGUCCUCGUCGUCAUCAGCUGCGGGGACGGGGAAAGAGGACGACGUGGACGGCCCCGGAGCCGCCUGGGCGUUGGCGUUGGCGGCGGCGGCGGCGGCUGAGGGCCCCUCGUCACUGGAGUCGGCGAGCAUCCCCUCCUGCUGCUGCUUGCGCGCCUCGCGGAGGAUCAUGGCGCUGAGGGAGGACGGGAUGGACGCCUCCUAGCUCGUCCGCCUGGUGCUGCUUGGCGGCGCCCGAGCGGCGGCGACCCCGUCGGCAUCGGCGCCCAGCCGGAGGCGGUGCUUCGGCUGCUUCUCGGAGCCGGACUUGCGCUUCUUCCCCGCCAUGGCUUCGCGGACUCGCUGGGGCGGCGGCGGCGGAGUCGGGCGCGGGCGUGUACUGUCGUGGGCUCGCUCGCUCGUGCGCACCGUGCACCGCGCCGCGCGUUUGAAUGGACAUGGGCUGGGCCUGAUAUUACCGGGCCGAGCUACUUUCAGCCCAAUACUUGCCCUCUGCUGGCUUGCGUUGCGUGGCUGUCAUCAUUUACAGGGCAGCUUUGUUUUUUCCCUCAAAGAAAAAAAAAGGGGGAAAUUUCCACGUAUCCGAUACUGAGUCAAUAUUCAUCUUGUAAAUGAUGACAACCAAUAUCAAUCCUUUAGAAAGUCAUUUGAGGAUUUACAGCAACAGCCACCAGCUGAGGAUACUUGAACCUGAAACCUGGAUCUCAUCAUCACAGAUUUAAAAUAAGGAAACAAAGAUCACUCCUGGGUUUUACCCACUAACUGUGUCUGUGCCGCGUUAAUCAUAUUACUACAAAUGGAAUUUUCACUAAUCUAAACCAAUCUCAAAUGUCUACAAUGUAUGCAGCCGUCUGCAGAUGCGAUUGCAUCUUCUUUUUCAUCUUCGAUUAGAAACGCCUUGUGGCAUGCGUACGAGACAAGGCACGGCACAUGAACCAUCGCCAUGUUGGUAAUGGUAGACUUGUGUGGGGCAUUUGCAUAGAGGAGCUUUAUGCACACGAAUUGCUUGUUCCAUCCAAGAGGAAAAACAGGGUCAUUUUUCAUCUUUGCCUGCGGAGGAACUCCCUCAUUUCAGGAUGGAACUCCCCUCGUACAAUCAGCCUCAUUCUCUUAGAGUCCUCCCACAGCAAGUAUCCAUGAUCUCUUGCGUGAUCACAGCAUUGUUCAAACCAUUCCUGCAUAAGAAGCAGAAUUAAGUAAACUGUCAGUUUACAGGAAAAAACACUCAGGAGCACAGUAAGCAAAUUAAUGUCUGACGAUUGCCCUUUGCCAAAGAUGCAGAGAAGAAAUAAUACUGCGUUUACCUUGCUAGGAAAAUCUUCAUACAAAUGUGAUGGAAUCAUCUCAACCCUGUUACGGUCAGUUUCCCACAGCCUAAUCUGCAUAGGUGAGUAUUGAAUUACUCAUCCACUAUAUUGUUUCUGCACACUAACUGAUGGCUGCCCAACAGAGAGAGAAUUAUCGCUUCUCACCUGAUCAGUGACAUUCUCCGGAACAACAGGUAUCUUGUCAACAACACGAGGGUGAGCAUUUUGCCUAAGAAAUGAAAUUAUCUGGAAAAAAAAAGACGAUAGAUCUUGAAACAAGAUGCAAGCUAGAUAUUAAAUGUAACUGCUUUACCAGACAAAGAAAUAGAAUAGAAGCUAAGCAGGAGGACAAAAUCGUAGCCAAAAUUUACAUGGUGCACAAAAAAUAACCGUAUUAAGUACAGGUGUGUUAGUAUGUGCAAACUGUUAUGGUCGGCAUCACGUACCAGAGGAGGUGGCGCCAGGGGUGAACGCUAUAGUCAGUUAGGAUGCAGCGGCAUAGUUUGGUUUGUUUCAGAUAAGAUUUGGUUUAGAUUUCAUUGUUAUCAGUUUGUUAGCUUAGUUAAGAGAAUCUAGCUGAGUUAGUUGAGUUGUAAUCCUGGCUAUUUAUAUGAAGCCGCCCAACAGAAUAAUCAAGCCAGAAUUAAUCUACUUCCUCGUCUCCCGUUCUCUGUUUCUCAUUCCUUGCUGCUCGACGCCACCGCAGCGACCUCCACGUGCUUCACGGGCAGGAAACCGGCAGCCCAGCGGCCGGCAACCUCCCACAGCUAUCCGAUCCACUCACUGCCGCAUGGCCGUGACAACUUGGUAUCAGAGCCAGGUUAACAUAAUACCCCGCUGUCACUUGUCAUUUUGGUUAACAUAUAAUCUCAAACACACAUAUGGUCAUUACAUUUUUAAUUAUAUAUGUGAAUACUCGAUUGUGUGCAGUAAAACAGAAUGGAAGUAGUAUAUUAGACAUUACCUGCUCAGCAGUUAUUCCAUUCUCAAAAGCACCAUAAAUACUUUCUUUUGUAAUAGCUCCCACGAUGAGGUUUGGAAGUUGAUACUCCACCCUGGAAAGAAAAGCAUAUAGUCAAUGAUGUUGUUUCAAAGUGAGUCCACAAACAAAUAUUGGAAUAUUAAUAGCAUACAGGAUAAUACGGCAGAACUAAUCAUGCAAUUAUAAUCAAACCUUUAGAAAAAAUUAAAAAGAAAACCCUGCAAACUGGAGUCAUUCAAAACCACUUUUCUGAUUCAAAUCCUGGAACCUGAAAUCAACUGAGUCGGAUGCAAAAGAUAAAUUCCUACUUGCCACCUACAGAGCAAGCAAUAGUGCAAGGCAGCACAGCGCUGUAUGAACUAAUAUACUACAGCCAACAGUGCAAAGCGGACAUCAAUAUUUUUCAGAUGCAGGUGAUUCAAACAGCUAGAUCUACAAGCUGCCUACAGCACAGUUCUAAAGGUCUUAGCACCUCCAAGCGAUGUCUAUAAAUGUCUUACUCUAUUAAGUUAAAUUUUUUCCCUAGAUAUAGCACUGGAUUACUCUAGAAACUUAACCUGUGCAGUCUAAUUUAUCAGGUCCACAGUACAACUAAACAAGCAGCUGCGUGGAAUUCACAACUGCAACCACUGACCAGUCUACUGGGAAUGUCAGAUCAACUGAAUUGGCAUGUACUCAAGUGGCAUCAGGUAAAGAAGCUUUAAGAAGAGUACAGAGCCCAUGCAGUUAUGACCGAUCAGUUGCUCCUUUUGCGUGCAACAUAAAUCAUAUAGCACAUUAAUAAACAAAGCAAGUGAUUCCUGAACAGGAGGCAGUGAGCUAUGAUGCCAUAGCUUUAAUGAAAAAGUGGUAGAUUGAGGAGCUAGGUUGUGUCACUCAUAGGGCACCUCAUGUACCUUGAAAAAAGGCGCAGAAUUUCACAGUGCAAUUUGGAGGUAGAGUAUGCAUACAUUCUAAAGUUUGUCUCCAAAACAACAAAGCCCUGCAACAACAUUACAAAUAUCAUCUCUUAGAUUAAAUGUAAUACAUAUCUUCAUUAUGAUCAUUGACUAGGGGACAAGUAGGUAGAAGUUACAGAUAAGUUUUGAAAAACAUAAAUAGUUGCAGUAGGGAAGGAUAUAUUAUGCAACCUCUUUGCUGGAUGAUGAAUCUGACAAGCUUGCUGAGAGAUUUGUAGCUAAUUGGGUAGGAAUGAACCAGCUAUCCUUUCGACCCUGAAAUUCAGUACUCGUCAUCAUCAUCAAGAUGAUCAGGGGAAAAACAAAAAUAAAAUUCAUAC
rnacentral:lncRNA from 1 species